CUCAGGACGAACGCUGGCGGCGUGCUUAACACAUGCAAGUCGAACGGAAAGGCCAGUGCUUGCACUGGUACUCGAGUGGCGAACGGGUGAGUAACACGUGGGUGAUCUGCCCUCAACUCCGGGAUAAGCCUGGGAAACUGGGUCUAAUACUGGAUAGGACCACAUCGUGGAUGGUGUGGUGGAAAGCGUUUUGCAGCGGUUGGGGAUGAGCUCGCGGCCUAUCAGCUUGUUGGUGGGGUAAUGGCCUACCAAGGCGGCGACGGGUAGCCGGCCUGAGAGGGUGUACGGUCACAUUGGGACUGAGAUACGGCCCAGACUCCUACGGGAGGCAGCAGUGGGGAAUAUUGCACAAUGGGCGCAAGCCUGAUGCAGCGACGCCGCGUGGGGGAUGACGGCCUUCGGGUUGUAAACCUCUUUCGACCGUGACGAAGCCUUUGGUGACGGUAGCGGUAGAAGAAGCACCGGCUAACUACGUGCCAGCAGCCGCGGUAAUACGUAGGGUGCGAGCGUUGUCCGGAUUUACUGGGCGUAAAGGGCUCGUAGGUGGUUUGUCGCGUCGUCUGUGAAAUUCCGGGGCUCAACUCCGGGCGUGCAGGCGAUACGGGCAUAACUUGAGUACUGCAGGGGUAACUGGAAUUCCUGGUGUAGCGGUGGAAUGCGCAGAUAUCAGGAGGAACACCGAUGGCGAAGGCAGGUUACUGGGCAG
rnacentral:rRNA from 1 species